GCGGGACGGGGUCCGGACGGGCUCCCCCCACCUGCGGUGACAGCCUGUUCACGGCCCAUUAAUGCCACUGGGAUGUGAGUGAGGGAGAUCAGACGAGGUUACCAGUUCUGAUAUUUCUGGAGGUGAUUUAAAAGCACUUAAAAAUACUGAAUAAAAAGCAAGCCAGACCACACCUGAAGUACCAGGCACAGCAAUAGGUUCCUCCUCUCACCCUUUCCCUUGCUGCUGCAGUGCUGCAUCUCUUCCUCCCUCCAACUGCCUGGACCACCAGCUGAACACUCCACUGGUUCCCUGGGCUCUGUUUCAUCAGUACCUUUCACUACCAGGACACUGUUCUGCAGUUUGUCUCAAAAGCUGGGAUAGCUGUAGAUAAUCAUGGCAUCCAUUCUUUUCCACGGGUAUUUUAUCUGAAAUAAAACAUCAGGUUAUGAGGUUUGGGGAUGCACGGAGUACAACAACUCAGCCAUUGGUGUUCAUUUCAGUAGCUGCUGUUUGAGACCUCAUCUGAACUCCAUCAAUACAACUAUUUAUGAGUAGGCUGGUUUAAGAUAACUGCUCUUAGUGCCUCAUGUGACCACCAUCUUCUGACCUUCUUUACAUGAAUUUAUCAAGUGCCUUGUGCCUUCGGGAUGGCUGUAAAUAGAAAUACAUUAUUUCCUUCAAGGAUGGCUGUAGCAGAUCUGGUUUAGUAUUUCAGAGUUGUCUCUGCAGGAUGCUCGAGGCCAUUCCUGCUGCAGCCAGAGGCAAAGCUUUUAUUGAUUCCAAGGAAAGUGACAUCAGUACCAGGUUCCUUAGGCUGCUUGGAACCACACAAAUGUUUGGAUGGAAAACACAGGCAAGAAUUAGAAUAACGUUUUCAUUUGGAGUCAGCACUAGGCAGAUGGUGUGCUGAGUCUGGGCUAUACUUUAAUGUGACAUUUAUGUAGGAAUAGAUACUUUAUUUAAAAAUUAAACUUUUGAAAGCCACUGCAGUCCUGCAUUUAGACUGCAGCUUGGAGUGCUGACAGGGAAUUGAAGUUCCCCUUCCUCUGCUGCCGUUACCCACAGGAGAAGGUACAAAUGGAGUUAUCCCUACUGAAGCCACUUACAUUUAAUUUCUCCACAGCAAAAAAUGUUUCAAAAGCAGCAACAUGAGGCUUUAAUGUCAUUUUCAAAGGCUGAGGUUUGAAACUGAGAAGAGGUUUGGUUUCCAGGGCUGCAAUUACAUUGCCACAGCUAAGGAAUGUAAUUUUUAUUUAGUCAGUUCUCUCAUCAUCAGAGGUGGUGUAGUGGGGUGGGACCACUCCUGAACCAUUAGGGCUCUGUCAUUUAACUUUGCUGUCCUGUUAUAAGAAGGGUGAGGGCAGUUUGUGCUUUAGGAUAUAGCACAGACACAACACCAGCUCUCCAAGUUCUGCAUAACUUCAGUUUUUUGCAGCAGAUUUCAUUCAGUCUAGGUUUAUUGAUUGGUUGUUUUUUAUUUGGGUUUUGUUUGUUUGAUUUGGUUUUGUUGUUUGGUUUGGUUGUGUGGUUUUGGGUUUGUUUGCUGCUGCUAUGAAGUUUCCACUCACAGAAAAUCAAGUGCCAUUUGAUUGGAAGUACUUAUGCUCAUUUCCCUUUUGUUCAGAAAGGUUACCAUCAUUUUAUACAUAUGAGAUUUUUUUCAGAAACCUAUUUUUCUGCAUCAGUUUGCCUUUAA